AAAUUGAAGAGUUUGAUCAUGGCUCAGAUUGAACGCUGGCGGCAGGCCUAACACAUGCAAGUCGAACGGUAACAGGAAGAAGCUUGCUUCUUUGCUGACGAGUGGCGGACGGGUGAGUAAUGUCUGGGAAACUGCCUGAUGGAGGGGGAUAACUACUGGAAACGGUAGCUAAUACCGCAUAACGUCGCAAGACCAAAGAGGGGGCCC
rnacentral:rRNA from 1 species